UAACGCGUGAGGAACCUGCCUUUCAGAGGGGGACAACAGUUGGAAACGACUGCUAAUACCGCAUAAUAUAUGUUUGUCGCAUGGCAGAUAUAUCAAAGAUUUAUCGCUGAGAGAUGGCCUCGCGUCUGAUUAGCUAGUUGGUAGGGUAACGGCCUACCAAGGCGACGAUCAGUAGCCGGACUGAGAGGUUGGCCGGCCACAUUGGGACUGAGAUACGGCCCAGACUCCUACGGGAGGCAGCAG
rnacentral:rRNA from 1 species